GGCAGAGCCAGACCCCCUGGAGGAAUGGACACCAAGAGUCACAUCACAUAUUGGACAUCUUAAGACGUGAUAUAUCUCCACUCCUGUUUAUCAACCUGAUCGCAGCAGCAAUUGGCAGAGGUGACCUCCAUUGUCAGGUGUCACCUGACAGGAGCUCCAUGAACUCCAUGAACAUAACGUACAGAGAGUGGGACCAGAAGAGAGAGAGCAGGAGCGUCUGCUGUCCGGCCACGCUGCACUCAAAUCGUAUCCUGUGGGAACACGAAGCAUCACAAGAUCAUGGCUAAUGUACAGUAAAGUAUUCUUGCUGUCCGGGGCGUAUGAACAGACUGAGCCAUGCUGCAUCAACAGGACAAAGACACACAGCGAGGUGAAAAGUCUGCCAGCUGCUUCAGGCAGACGCAACCUGAGGCAACCCAGACGGCCUCCACCUCGGCUGGGCCUGUCGUCAGCUCUAAAAGUAUUUUGUGUACGGAAUGAAUGCAGUCUUCUCCUCAAUCCUCAGGCUAAUGUUUCCUCCCUCGGUGUGAAAUGCCAUCCCGUGGCCUCGGGGAGGGUGAAGACAGAGCCCUGGCUCGACACCCAGCGCUGGCUCAGUGUACACAAACACACUUUCCUCAUCAAUAUUUAAAUACACUU